rnacentral:rRNA from 1 species
GGCGGCGUGCUUAACACAUGCAAGUCGAACGAUGAAGCCCUUCGGGGUGGAUUAGUGGCGAACGGGUGAGUAACACGUGGGCAAUCUGCCCUUCACUCUGGGACAAGCCCUGGAAACGGGGUCUAAUACCGGAUACGACUGCGGGAGGCAUCUCCUGUGGUUAAAAGCUCCGGCGGUGAAGGAUGAGCCCGCGGCCUAUCAGCUUGUUGGUGAGGUAAUGGCUCACCAAGGCGACGACGGGUAGCCGGCCUGAGAGGGCGACCGGCCACACUGGGACUGAGACACGGCCCAGACUCCUACGGGAGGCAGCAGUGGGGAAUAUUGCACAAUGGGCGCAAGCCUGAUGCAGCGACGCCGCGUGAGGGAUGACGGCCUUCGGGUUGUAAACCUCUUUCAGCAGGGAAGAAGCGAGAGUGACGGUACCUGCAGAAGAAGCGCCGGCUAACUACGUGCCAGCAGCCGCGGUAAUACGUAGGGCGCAAGCGUUGUCCGGAAUUAUUGGGCGUAAAGAGCUCGUAGGCGGCUUGUCACGUCGAUUGUGAAAGCCCGAGGCUUAACCUCGGGUCUGCAGUCGAUACGGGCUAGCUAGAGUGUGGUAGGGGAGAUCGGAAUUCCUGGUGUAGCGGUGAAAUGCGCAGAUAUCAGGAGGAACACCGGUGGCGAAGGCGGAUCUCUGGGCCAUUACUGACGCUGAGGAGCGAAAGCGUGGGGAGCGAACAGGAUUAGAUACCCUGGUAGUCCACGCCGUAAACGGUGGGAACUAGGUGUUGGCGACAUUCCACGUCGUCGGUGCCGCAGCUAACGCAUUAAGUUCCCCGCCUGGGGAGUACGGCCGC